AGAACGGUGGUCUAGCGGUUAGAACGCUGGCCUUGUAAUCCUGGGGUCUCGGGUUCGAUUCCCGGCUGUGCCC
rnacentral:tRNA from 1 species